GAGAGCCGGAUGCGGGGAAACUCGCACGUCCGGUUCGGAGAGGGGGAUGGCGAAACCUGACCCGGCAACGGGCCAAGGCGCGUCAUCCCUACUCUAC
rnacentral:ncRNA from 1 species